rnacentral:rRNA from 1 species
AAUCAACGCUGGCGGCGUGCCUCAGACAUGCAAGUCGAACGAUUAAGACUCUCUUCGGAGAGUGUAUAAAGUGGCGCACGGGUGAGUAACACGUAGGUAAUGUACCGAAGGGUGGGGAAUAACUUAGGGAAACUUAAGCUAAUACCGCAUAAUGCAGCGGCUCGACAUCGAGACAGUUGUUAAAGGAGCAAUCCGCCUUUUGAGCAGCCUGCGGCAGAUUAGCUAGUUGGUAAGGUAAUGGCUUACCAAGGCUACGAUCUGUAACCGACCUGAGAGGGUGGUCGGUCACACUGACACUGAAUAACGGGUCAGACUCCUACGGAGGCAGCAGUCGGGAAUUUUGGGCAAUGGGCGAAAGCCUGACCCAGCAACGCCGCGUGAAGGAUGAAGUAUUUCGGUAUGUAAACUUCGUAAGAAUAGGAAGAAUAAAUGACGGUACUAUUUGUAAGGUUCCGGCUAACUACGUGCCAGCAGCCGCGGUAAU